rnacentral:rRNA from 1 species
UACGGGGGGGGCAAGCGUUGUUCGGAAUUACUGGGCGUAAAGGGCUCGUAGGCGGCCAACUAAGUCAGACGUGAAAUCCCUCGGCUUAACCGGGGAACUGCGUCUGAUACUGGAUGGCUUGAGUUUGGGAGAGGGAUGCGGAAUUCCAGGUGUAGCGGUGAAAUGCGUAGAUAUUGGGAAGAACACCGGUGGCGUAGGCGACUAGCUGGGCUGUAACUGACGCUGAGGAACGAAAGCCAGGGGAGCGAAUGGG